rnacentral:rRNA from 1 species
GAGUGGCGGACGGGUGAGUAAUGUCUGGGAAACUGCCCGGUGGAGGGGGAUAACUACUGGAAACGGUAGCUAAUACCGCAUAACGUCUUCGGACCAAAGUGGGGGAUCUUCGGACCUCACGCCACCGGAUGUGCCCAGAUGGGAUUAGCUAGUAGGUGGGGUAACGGCUCACCUAGGCGACGAUCCCUAGCUGGUCUGAGAGGAUGACCAGCCACACUGGAACUGAGACACGGUCCAGACUCCUACGGGAGGCAGCAGUGGGGAAUAUUGCACAAUGGGCGCAAGCCUGAUGCAGCCAUGCCGCGUGUAUGAAGAAGGCCUUCGGGUUGUAAAGUACUUUCAGCGGGGAGGAAGGCGGUGAGGUUAAUAACCUCGCCGAUUGACGUUACCCGCAGAAGAAGCACCGGCUAACUCCGUGCCAGCAGCCGCGGUAAUACGGAGGGUGCAAGCGUUAAUCGGAAUUACUGGGCGUAAAGCGCACGCAGGCGGUCUGUUAAGUCAGAUGUGAAAUCCCCGGGCUUAACCUGGGAACUGCAUUUGAAACUGGCAGGCUUGAGUCUCGUAGAGGGGGGUAGAAUUCCAGGUGUAGCGGUGAAAUGCGUAGAGAUCUGGAGGAAUACCGGUGGCGAAGGCGGCCCCCUGGACGAAGAC